GACGAACGCUGGCGGCGUGCUUAACACAUGCAAGUCGAACGGAAAGGCCCUGCUUGCCGGGUACUCGAGUGGCGAACGGGUGAGUAACACGUGGGUGAUCUGCCCUGCACUUCGUGAUAAGCCUGGGAAACUGGGUCUAAUACCGGAUAGGAGCCAUUUUUAGUGUGAUGGUUGGAAAGUUUUUUCGGUGUAGGAUGAGCUCGCGGCCUAUCAGCUUGUUGGUGGGGUAAUGGCCUACCAAGGCGGCGACGGGUAGCCGGCCUGAGAGGGUGGACGGCCACAGUGGGACUGAGAUAAGGCCCAGAAUCCUACGGGAGGCGGCAGUGGGGAAUAUUGCACAAUGGGCGCAAGCCGGAUGCAGCGAAGCCGCGGGGGGGAAGACGGCCUUCGGGUUGGAAAAUCCUUUCGCUAGGGACGAAGCUUUUUGUGACGGUACCUAGAUAAGAAGCACCGGCUAACUACGUG
rnacentral:rRNA from 1 species